AUUAAAGGAAAUAAGAGCGCACAGUGGAUGCCUAGGCACCAAGAGCUGAUGAAGGACGCAAUUAACGGCGAUACGCUACGGGGAGCUGUAAAUAAGUGUAGAUCCGUGGAUUUCCGAAUGGGGCAACCUACUAUAAGAAGUUAUAGUAUCAAUUGUUAGGCAACUAACUGAUUGAAAGGAACGCAGUGAACUGAAAUAUCUAAGUAACUGCAGGAACAGAAAGUAAUAACGAUUCCGGUAGUAGUGACGAGCGAAUCCGGAACAGCCGGAUACCAAUAACUAGUUACCAAAUUUUAAUUAACUCGAAAUAGUUGGAAAGCUAUAUCCCAGAAGGUGAAAAUCCUGUAGAGGUAAGUUAAAAUCUAGGGUAUCCUCAAGUACGGCGAGACACGAGAAAUCUUGUUGGAAGAUAGGAGGACCAUCUCCUAAGGCUAAAUACUCCUUGGUGACCGAUAGUGAACUAGUACCGUGAGGGAAAGGUGAAAAGAACCCCGGAAGGGGAGUGAAAUAGAUCCUGAAACUGUGUGCUUACAAGUAGUCAAAGCUCGUUUAAGAGUGAUGGCGUGCCUUUUGCAGAAUGAACCGGCGAGUUAUGAUAUAGAGCAAGGUUAAGUUUGAAGGAACGUAGCCGUAGCGAAAGCGAGUCUGAAUAGGGCGUUUAGUUGUAUGUCAUAGACCCGAAACUGAAGUGAGCUAGCCAUGAACAGGCUGAAGUGACGUGACCACGUCAUGGAGGGCCGAACCAGGACACGUUGAAAAGUGUUUGGAUGAUUUGUGGCUAGAGGUGAAAUUCCAAUCGAACUCAGAGAUAGCUGGUUCUCCCCGAAAUAGCUUUAGGGCUAGCGUUGGGUAUUUAAUAGUUCUUGAAGGUAGAGCACUAAAUGAGUGCGGGCUCCACCUCGGGGUACCAAUCUCAAUUAAACUCCGAAUGUCAAGAACCGUAUCCCAGCAGUCAGACGAUGGGUGAUAAGGUCCAUGGUCAAAAGGGAAAGAGCCCAGACCGUCAGCUAAGGUCCCUAAAUUAAUGUUAAGUGGUUAAGGAAGUAAAAACGUUAAAACAAUUAGGAAGUUGGCUUAGAAGCAGCCAUCUUUUAAAGAGUGCGUAAUAGCUCACUAAUCUAAUAUUUUUGCACCGAAAAUGUAACGGGGCUAAACAUUAUACCGAAGCUACGGAUAUGUUCCGGCUAGUAAUAGCUAAGGAACAUGUGGUAGGGGAAGCGUUCUAACAUCGUAGAAGCUAUAGCGGAAGCAGUAGUGGAGAGGUUAGAAGUGAGAAUGCCGGUGUAAGUAACGAAAAGAUAGAUGAGAAUUCUAUCCGUCGAAAACCCAAGGUUUCCAGGGGCAGGGUCGUCCGCCCUGGGUUAGUCAGGAACUAAGGCGAGGCAGCAAUGCGUAGUCGAUGACCAGCAGGCUAAAAUUCCUGCACUAAAAAAAUCACUGAUGGAGGGACAAAAGAGGAUAAGCACGCCCUUUAUUGGAUUAGGGUCGAAAAAUCGAGUUUGAGAAGAUAGGCAAAUCCGUCUUCUUACUUGCCAAAAAAUGAGAUUUGAGGGUAACGUGACUGUGUUCAUAUUUUCUAGAAAAGCUUCUAGGGUUAAUGAUUUUUUUACCUGUACCGUAAACCGACACAGGUGGGAAGGUAGAGUAUACUAAGACGCGCGAGAAAACUCUUGUUAAGGAACUCGGCAAAAUGACUCCGUAACUUCGGGAUAAGGAGAGCUUUUAUGAUAAAAAGUAAAAGCCGCAGAGAAUAGGCCCAAGCGACUGUUUAUCAAAAACACAGGUCUCUGCUAAACCGUAAGGUGAUGUAUAGGGGCUGAUGCCUGCCCGGUGCUGGAAGAUUAAGAGGAGAUGUUCGGGCUUGCCCAAAGCAUUGAAUUGAAGUCCCAGUGAACGGCGGCCGUAACUAUAACGGUCCUAAGGUAGCGAAAUUCCUUGUCGGGUAAAUUCCGACCUGCACGAAAGGCAUAACGAUUUGGGCGCUGUCUCAACAAGAGUCUCGGUGAAAUCAAAUUACCGGUGAAAAUGCCGGUUACCCGCGACAGGACGAAAAGACCCCAUGGAGCUUUACUGUAGCUUAAUAUUGGAAUUGGAAAUCUCAUGUACAGGAUAGGUGGGAGACAGAGAACUUUAGACGCUAGUUUAAAGGGAGUCACCGGUGGGAUACCACUCUUGAGAUUUUUAGUUUCUAACCUGCAUAAGUGGAUUAUGAGGGACAGUGUUUGGUGGGCAGUUUGACUGGGGCGGUCGCCUCCUAAAAAGUAACGGAGGCGUUCAAAGGUUCCCUCAAAAUGGUCAGAAAUCAUUUUUAGAGCGUAAAGGUAUAAGGGAGCUUGACUGUGAGACCUACAAGUCGAGCAGGGACGAAAGUCGGACUUAGUGAUCUUGCGGUACCGAAUGGAAGGGCCGUGACUCAACGGAUAAAAGCUACCCUGGGGAUAACAGCCUUAUCGCCCCCGAGCGUUCACAGCGACGGGGCGGUUUGGGACCUCGAUGUCGGCUCAUCGCAUCCUGGAGCUGGAGCAGGUUCCAAGGGUUGGGCUGUUCGCCCAUUAAAGCGGUACGCGAGCUGGGUUCAGAACGUCGUGAGACAGUUCGGUCUCUAUCCGUCGUGGGCGUUGGAAAUUUGCGAGGAACUGUCCCUAGUAUGAGAAGACCGGGAUGGAUAUACCGCUGGUGCACCAGUUGGUUCGCCAGAGCCAUAGCUGGGUAGCUAUGUAUAGUAUGGAUAAACACUGAAAGCAUCUAAGUGUGAAGCCUCCCUCAAGAUGAGAUUUCCCUAAGAGAUCCCUGAAAGACGAUCAGGUUGAUAGGCUAGAAGUGGAAGAGUAGUGAUAUUUGGAGCUGACUAGUACUAAUAGAUCCAACGACUUUGAUGA
rnacentral:rRNA from 2 species